rnacentral:rRNA from 1 species
GUCCACGCCCUAAACGAUGUCAACUAGUUGUUGGAUCUCUUCUGAUUCAGUAACAAAGCUAACGCGUGAAGUUGACCGCCUGGGGAGUACGGCCGCAAGGUUAAAACUCAAAGGAAUUGACGGGGACCCGCACAAGCGGUGGAUGAUGUGGUUUAAUUCGAUGCAACGCGAAAAACCUUACCCACCUUUGACAUGUAUAGAAGUAUUUAGAGAUAGAUGCGUGCUCGAAAGAGAGCUAUAACACAGGUGCUGCAUGGCUGUCGU